GACGAAGGUGACAACCGUUGCUCGGAAUCACUGGGCAUAAAGCGCGCGUAGGUGGCUGUGUAAGUCCAUGGUGAAAUCCCUCGGCUCAACCGAGGAACAGCCGUGGAUACUGCAUAGCUUGAGAACGGGAGGGGUGAGUGGAACUCUGGGUGUAGCGGUGAAAUGCGUAGAUAUCCAGAGGAACGCCGGUGGCGAAAGCGACUCACUGGACCGUUACUGACACUGAGGCGCGAGAGCUAGGGGAGCAAACAGG
rnacentral:rRNA from 1 species